rnacentral:rRNA from 1 species
AGAUUGAACGCUGGCGGCAUGCCUUACACAUGCAAGUCGAACGGCAGCACGGGAGCAAUCCUGGUGGCGAGUGGCGAACGGGUGAGUAAUACAUCGGAACGUGCCCAAUCGUGGGGGAUAACGCAGCGAAAGCUGUGCUAAUACCGCAUAAGAUCUACGGAUGAAAGCAGGGGAUCGCAAGACCUUGCGCGAAUGGAGCGGCCGAUGGCAGAUUAGGUAGUUGGUGAGGUAAAGGCUCACCAAGCCUUCGAUCUGUAGCUGGUCUGAGAGGACGACCAGCCACACUGGGACUGAGACACGGCCCAGACCUCCGUACGGGAGGCAGGCA